rnacentral:tRNA from 1 species
GCGCACGAGUGCCGUAAUUGGUAGCCGGAGGGGCCUUAAAAGCCCCAGCUCGAAAGAGCGUGCGGGUUCGAGUCCCGCCUCGCGCA